UGCUGUAGAUGAAGGGGGAAGCUUUCGGGAUGUUCAGGAAAAGAAUCCGUUUUGGAGGCUGCACAAGACUUGAGACUGGGAAGAAAUUAAUUCUCCAGCGGGAAAAUGAUCCUAAACAUCUCAUUAUCCAGAUGUGUAAAUCUGAUUUCAAAUGGCUCCUAUAAGGGAAGACUAAGCAUCCUGCAAUGGAAUACCUCAUGGGGUCAUCUGUAUGUGGAUGGCAGAGCAGUUGGAGGGUUGAAUGAUGCUGGACCCUGCCUUUGAUCAUCUUCGGAAGAAAACUCUGAUGGUGCCCACUGUUCAAAGAUCCCAUUUUCAGAAUCACUUCAAGGACUUCAAUGUAAAUGGUUCUGCACUGGUGCAGUCUGUGGUCUGCAUUGCAUAACAUGAGAUCAAGCAGCAAUAAAAUUACAUAAUUGUCACAAGUAUAAUGGGGCUACGCUAAGACAUUCCUACUCGACAUUCCUGAGGACGUACCCCCUCCUUCUGCUGAACAAUCAGGGGGCUAUUAGUCGACUUUUAUAAUGCAUAUGCUUGCAGCAAACCCAGACACCCCCAACUACACUUUCCAUCUAUCUCUCUGGGGAUCCUGUUAACAAGUUUUCGCCCUAAAGAUGUUGCGUGUAUCUUUGCAAAGAACAAAAUAA